UCCGGCUUAUGAGCCGGCACUCACUGCUUUCGCAGUAAUUCCCAAGAUGUCAAGCCCUGGUAAGGUUCUUCGCUUAACAUCGAAUUAAACAACACGCUCCACCGCUUGUGCGGGUCCCCGUCAAUUCCUUUGAGUUUUAGUCUUGCGACCGUACUCCCCAGGCGGGAUGCUUAACGCGUUAGCUUCGCUACAUACCGGGUCGAUACGGCAUACAGCUAGCAUCCAUAGUUUACGGCGUGGACUAC
rnacentral:misc_RNA from 1 species